rnacentral:rRNA from 1 species
GACGAACGCUGGCGGCGUGCUUAACACAUGCAAGUCGAACGCUGAAGCUCAGCUUUUGUUGGGUGGAUGAGUGGCGAACGGGUGAGUAACACGUGAGUAACCUGCCUCCUUCUUUGGGAUAACGCCCGGAAACGGGUGCUAAUACUGGAUAUUCACUGGUCUUCGCAUGGGGGUUGGUGGAAAGGGUUUUUCUGGUGGGGGAUGGGCUCGCGGCCUAUCAGCUUGUUGGUGGGGUGAUGGCCUACCAAGGCUUUGACGGGUAGCCGGCCUGAGAGGGUGACCGGUCACAUUGGGACUGAGAUACGGCCCAGACUACUACGGGAGGCAGCAGUGGGGAAUAUUGCACAAUGGGCGCAAGCCUGAUGCAGCGACGCCGCGUGAGGGAUGGAGGCCUUCGGGUUGUGAACCUCUUUCGCCCAUGGUCAAGCCGCAACAAUGGUUGUGGUGAGGGUAGUGGGUAAAGAAGCGCCGGCUAACUACGUG